GACGAAUGCUGGCUGCGUGCAUAACACAUGCAAGUCGAACGGUGAAGGAGGGCUUGCCCUCCGGAUCAGUGGCGAACGGGUGAGUAACACGUGGGCAACCUGCCCCUCACUCUGGGAUAACGCCGGGAAACCGGCGCUAAUACCGGAUACGACCAGGCGCGACAUCUCGCCUGGUGGAAAGAAUUUCGGUGAGGGAUGGGCCCGCGGCCUAUCAGCUAGUUGGUGGGGUAACGGCCCACCAAGGCGACGACGGGUAGCCGGCCUGCGAGGGCGGCCAGCCACACUGGGACUGAGACACGGCCCAGACUCCUACGGGAGGCAGCAGUGGGGAAUAGUGCGCGAUGGGCGAAAGCCUGACGCAGCGACGCAGCGUGAGGGACGAAGGCCUUCGGGUUGUAAACCUCUUUCAGCGGGGACGAAGCGAAAGUGACGGUACCCGCAGAAGAAGCACCGGCUAACUACGUGCCAGCCGCCGCUGUAACAC
rnacentral:rRNA from 1 species